rnacentral:rRNA from 1 species
UACGUAGGGACCGAGCGUUGUCCGGAUUCAUUGGGCGUAAGAGCUCGUAGGCGGCCACUCAAGUCGAAUGUGAAACCUCGAGGCUUAACCUCGAGCCUGCAUUCGAUACUGGGCGGCUAGAGUCUGGUAGGGGGAUCGUGGAAUUCCUGGUGUAGCGGUGGAAUGCGCAGAGUAUCAGGAGGAACGACCGGUGGCGAAGGCGGCGACCUGGGUCGAUACUGACGCUGAUGCGCGAAAGCGUGGGGAGCAAACAGG